GGUGCUGCAUGGCUGUCGUCAGCUCGUGCGUGAGGUGUUGGGUUAAGUCCCGCAACGAGCGCAACCCUCACCCUUAGUUGCCAUCAUUAAGUUGGGCACCUAAGGGAACUGCCGCAGUUAAUGCGGAGGAAGGUGGGGAUGACGUCAAGUCCUCAUGGCCCUUAUAUCCAGGGCUACACACGUGCUACAAUGGACGGUACAAAGGGUCGCGAACCUGUAAGGGGGAGCUAACCCCAGAAAACCGUUCUCAGUUCGGAUUGGAGUCUGCAACCCGACUCCAUGAAGUUGGAAUCGCUAGUAAUCGCGGAUCAGAACGCCGCGGUGAAUACGUUCCCGGGCCUU
rnacentral:rRNA from 1 species